GAUGAACGCUGGCGGCGUGCCUAAUACAUGCAAGUCGAGCGAACAGACGAGGAGCUUGCUCCUCUGACGUUAGCGGCGGACGGGUGAGUAACACGUGGAUAACCUACCUAUAAGACUGGGAUAACUUCGGGAAACCGGAGCUAAUACCGGAUAAUAUAUUGAACCGCAUGGUUCAAUAGUGAAAGACGGUUUUGCUGUCACUUAUAGAUGGAUCCGCGCCGCAUUAGCUAGUUGGUAAGGUAACGGCUUACCAAGGCAACGAUGCGUAGCCGACCUGAGAGGGUGAUCGGCCACACUGGAACUGAGACACGGUCCAGACUCCUACAGGAGGCAGCAGUAGGGAAUCUUCCGCAAUGGGCGAAAGCCUGACGGAGCAACGCCGCGUGAGUGAUGAAGGUCUUCGGAUCGUAAAACUCUGUUAUUAGGGAAGAACAAAUGUGUAAGUAACUAUGCACGUCUUGACGGUACAUAAUCAGAAAGCCACGGCUAACUACGUG
rnacentral:rRNA from 1 species